UACGAACCGUACAAACGUUAUUCGGAAUCACUGGGCUUAAAGGGUGCGUAGGCGGCCAUGUAAGUGAGGUGUGAAAUCCCUCGGCUCAACCGAGGAACUGCGCUUCAUACUGCAUGGCUUGAGGGAGACAGGGGUAAGCGGAACUGAUGGUGGAGCGGUGAAAUGCGUAGAUAUCGUCUGGAACGCCAAAGGUGAAAACAGACUGCUGGGAGUGUGCUGACGCUGAGACACGAAAGCCAGGGGAGCAAACGGG
rnacentral:rRNA from 1 species